rnacentral:rRNA from 1 species
UUGAACUGAAGAGUUUGAUCCUGGCUCAGAUUGAACGCUGGCGGCAUGCCUUACACAUGCAAGUCGAA